CGUGUAGGCGGUCAGGUAAGUGGAAUGUGAAAUGCCCCGGCUCACCCGGGGACCGGCAUCCCAAACUGCCUGGCUUGAGUAUGGGAGAGGAUGGAGGAAUUCCUGGUGUAGCGGUGAAAUGCGUAGAUAUCAAGAGGAACACCGGUGGCGAAGGCGUCCAUCUGGCCCAAUACUGACGCUGAGGCGCGAAAGCUAGGGGAGCAAACGG
rnacentral:rRNA from 1 species